CCCCAGUAAACGGCGGCCGUAACUAUAACGGUCCUAAGGUAGCGAAAUUCCUUGUCGGGUAAGUUCCGACCCGCACGAAAGGCGUAACGAUUUGGGCACUGUCUCAACAACAGACUCGGUGAAAUUGUAAUUCCGGUGAAGAUGCCGGAUACCUGCGACAGGACGGAAAGACCCCAUGGAGCUUUACUGUAGCUUGACAUUGGGUCUUGGUACUACAUGUACAGGAUAGGUGGGAGGCUUUGAAACCAGGACGCCAGUUUUGGCGGAGCCAUCCUUGGGAUACCACCCUUGUAGUACUGGGACUCUAACCAUAGGCCAUGAAUCUGGUCUUGGGACACUGUCAGGUGGGCAGUUUGACUGGGGCGGUCGCCUCCCAAAAGGUAACGGAGGCGCUCAAAGGUUCUCUCAGUACGGUCGGAAAUCGUACGUAGAGUGUAAAGGCAAAAGAGAGCUUGAUUGCAAGACAUACAGGUCGAGCAAGGAUGAAAAUCGGACUUAGUGAUCCGGUGGUUCUGCGUGGAAGGGCCAUCGCUCAACGGAUAAAAGCUACCCUGGGGAUAACAGGCUUAUCUCCCCCAAGAGUCCACAUCGACGGGGAGGUUUGGCACCUCGAUGUCGGCUCAUCACAUCCUGGGGCUGUAGUAGGUCCCAAGGGUUGGGCUGUUCGCCCAUUAAAGUGGUACGCGAGCUGGGUUCAGAACGUCGUGAGACAGUUCGGUCCCUAUCCGUCGCAGGCGUAGGAAAUUUGAGAAGACCUGUCCUUAGUACGAGAGGACCGGGAUGGACGUACCUCUGGUGUACCAGUUGU
rnacentral:rRNA from 1 species